rnacentral:rRNA from 1 species
UACAGAGGGGGCAAGCGUUGUUCGGAAUUACUGGGCGUAAAGGGCGCGUAGGCGGCCUUCUAAGUCAGACGUGAAAUCCCUCGGCUCAACCGGGGAACCGCGUCUGAGACUGGAAGGCUUGAAUCCGGGAGAGGGAUGUGGAAUUCCAGGUGUAGCGGUGAAAUGCGUAGAUAUCUGGAGGAACACCGGUGGCGAAAGCGGCCCACUGGACCAGAUCUGACACUGAUGUGCGAAAGCUAGGGUAGCAAACGGG